AUUGAACGCUGGCGGAAUGCUUUACACAUGCAAGUCGAACGGCAGCACGGGGGCAACCCUGGUGGCGAGUGGCGAACGGGUGAGUAAUACGUCGGAACGUGCCCAGUCGUGGGGGAUAACUACGCGAAAGCGUAGCUAAUACCGCAUACGAACUCAGGUUGAAAGCGGGGGAUCGCAAGACCUCGCGCGAUUGGAGCGGCCGAUGGCAGAUUAGGUAGUUGGUGGGGUAAAGGCUCACCAAGCCGACGAUCUGUAGCUGGUCUGAGAGGACGACCAGCCACACUGGGACUGAGACACGGCCCAGACUCCUACGGGAGGCAGCAGUGGGGAAUUUUGGACAAUGGGCGCAAGCCUGAUCCAGCCAUUCCGCGUGCAGGAUGAAGGCCCUCGGGUUGUAAACUGCUUUUGUACGGAACGAAACGCGCCGGGUUAAUACCCUGGCGUAAUGACGGUACCGUAAGAAUAAGCACCGGCUAACUACGUGCCAGCAGCCGCCGUAAUAC
rnacentral:rRNA from 1 species